UCAGGGUACAAUGCUGUUAAUUAUGCAGUU
rnacentral:piRNA from 1 species